rnacentral:rRNA from 1 species
AUUGAACGCUGGCGGCAGGCUUAACACAUGCAAGUCGAACGAAGUGGCGAACGGGUGAGUAACGCGUAAUCAACCUGCCCUUCAGAGGGGGACAACAGUUGGAAACGACUGCUAAUACAGCAUACUGAAGGAGGGGAUUGCGUCUGAGUAGCUAGUUGGAGGGGUAACGGCCCACCAAGUCAAUGAUCAGUAGCUGGUCUGAUAGGAGGAACGGCCACAUUGGGACUGAGACACGGCCCAGACUCCUACGGGAGGCAGCAGGGGGGAAGCUUCCGCAAUGGACGAAAGUCUGACGGAGCAACGCCGCGUGAGUGAUGACGGCCUUCGGGUUGUAAAGCUCUGUUAAUCGGGACGCGGUACCGGAAUAGAAAGCCACGGCUAACUACGUGCCAGCAGCCGCGGUAAUAC